GAUAGUUUCGGCAGAACAUAUACUAAAACUGGAACGAUACAGAGAAGAUUAGCAUGGCCUCUGUGCAAGGAUGACACGCAAAUUUGUGAAGCGUUCCCUCCCCAC
rfam:Caprimulgus carolinensis contig92892, whole genome shotgun sequence.